rnacentral:rRNA from 1 species
AUUGAACGCUGGCGGCGGGCUUAACACAUGCAAGUCGAGCGGAGAUGAGGUGCUUGCACCUUAUCUUAGCGGCGGACGGGUGAGUAAUGCUUAGGAAUCUGCCUAUUAGUGGGGGACAACAUUCCGAAAGGAAUGCUAAUACCGCAUACGUCCUACGGGAGAAAGCAGGGGAUCUUCGGACCUUGCGCUAAUAGAUGAGCCUAAGUCGGAUUAGCUAGUUGGUGGGGUAAAGGCCUACCAAGGCGACGAUCUGUAGCGGGUCUGAGAGGAUGAUCCGCAACACUGGGACUGAGACACGGCCCAGACUCCUACGGGAGGCAGCAGUGGGGAAUAUUGGACAAUGGGGGGAACCCUGAUCCAGCCAUGCCGCGUGUGUGAAGAAGGCCUUAUGGUUGUAAAGCACUUUAAGCGAGGAGGAGGCUACUGAGACUAAUACUCUUGGAUAGUGGACGUUACUCGCAGAAUAAGCACCGGCUAACUCUGUGCCAGCCGCCGCCGUAAUAC